AUGCCCUGCAAGUCUUA
rnacentral:tRNA from 1 species